GAAGAAAAUCCUGCCAUGGGGACAACAUGGACACUGAGACCACCAUGCUAAAUGAGCACAGUGCCUGAUACCUCAUGUGUGGUAUUGAAAACAUCCCAAUUAAAAAAAAAUGCCAUUUGUGAUCUUCUGAGCAGGAAGAUGCAAGUCCAGUUCUGGGGCCAUGUGUUGUGUCAAGGUAAAGGAGAAGGUGUCUCUGAGUCAUCCAGAGACGGCGAACUGGGUUAGCACAGAACACAGGAUAUGACACGCUGCUUCACAGAGCAGUAAGAAGUCAAGCUACAAACAUCCUCAAAGUUGGUGACACAAUUCACUAGACUAUCCAGCCCUAAGGACUUCAUUCAGGAGGUGCUGUCCCUUAAUUCUAAAUGGAAGCCAUGCAAAGCCAGAAGUCAAUUGUAUUUUAAAUAACUGCUUGGUUCAGGUAUUACCUCGCAGGGAAAAGAUGACAUGCCACAAUGGUAAUGGGACGUUUGCCACCCAGAUCAGCAUAUACGACCAACCAACUUUCAGAGAAAUGUCUCCUUCUCCCACUUGGGACAGUUUGAACAGAUGGAAAAAGGUCAUGAAUAACAGGAAUGGCUGGGUGGACAGUAAUGCAGCAAUGGUUGUUGAAAAGUGUGACAAUGCAUAGCCAAGAGUCAGACUCACUGUGAAUCACACAAUUCCAAAGGAAUUUCAGGCCUUGAGCUUUGGCUUUGGAAAGCAGAAUGCAGAACUCAAGGAGGAACUAGCUCUCACUCUUAUCAUCCCAUUUAUCAUCACUUCUACCAGUGAGGGAGGAAGUGCGCGAUUCUUCCUCAAGACCCAACUACCAGCAAAACAACUGCCCCUCUGGAAAAACAAUUUCGUGAAAUGAAAUUGGAGAAAUGGAAAUGGGGUCAUGUCUGACAUUGAGCAUGUGACUGGCUCUGUUCUAAGCCAUUUUAUUUGUCAUAACAUUACUAUACAGUGGUGCAAUAGGCAGUGUAAUUCAUUCUCCUUCUUCCAUCCCCAAUAAAGUAUCCAUAUUUUA